rnacentral:rRNA from 1 species
AACUUCCGUUAAUUGAUUAUGACGUACUUGUACUGAUUGAGAUUUUAACACGAAGUGAGUGGCGAACGGGUGAGUAACACGUGGGUAACCUGCCCAGAAGUAGGGGAUAACACCUGGAAACAGAUGCUAAUACCGUAUAACAGAGAAAACCGCAUGGUUUUCUUUUAAAAGAUGGCUCUGCUAUCACUUCUGGAUGGACCCGCGGCGUAUUAGCUAGUUGGUGAGGUAAAGGCUCACCAAGGCAGUGAUACGUAGCCGACCUGAGAGGGUAAUCGGCCACAUUGGGACUGAGACACGGCCCAGACUCCUACGGGAGGCAGCAGUAGGGAAUCUUCCACAAUGGACGCAAGUCUGAUGGAGCAACGCCGCGUGAGUGAAGAAGGGUUUCGGCUCGUAAAGCUCUGUUGUUAAAGAAGAACGUGGGUAAGAGUAACUGUUUACCCAGUGACGGUAUUUAACCAGAAAGCCACGGCUAACUACGUGCCAGCAGCCGCGGUAAUACGUAGGUGGCAAGCGUUAUCCGGAUUUAUUGGGCGUAAAGCGAGCGCAGGCGGUCUUUUAAGUCUAAUGUGAAAGCCUUCGGCUCAACCGAAGAAGUGCAUUGGAAACUGGGAGACUUGAGUGCAGAAGAGGACAGUGGAACUCCAUGUGUAGCGGUGAAAUGCGUAGAUAUAUGGAAGAACACCAGUGGCGAAGGCGGCUGUCUGGUCUGCAACUGACGCUGAGGCUCGAAAGCAUGGGUAGCGAACAGGAUUAGAUACCCUGGUAGUCCAUGCCGUAAACGAUGAUUACUAAGUGUUGGAGGGUUUCCGCCCUUCAGUGCUGCAGCUAACGCAUUAAGUAAUCCGCCUGGGGAGUACGACCGCAAGGUUGAAACUCAAAAGAAUUGACGGGGGCCCGCACAAGCGGUGGAGCAUGUGGUUUAAUUCGAAGCUACGCGAAGAACCUUACCAGGUCUUGACAUCUUCUGACAGUCUAAGAGAUUAGAGGUUCCCUUCGGGGACAGAAUGACAGGUGGUGCAUGGUUGUCGUCAGCUCGUGUCGUGAGAUGUUGGGUUAAGUCCCGCAACGAGCGCAACCCUUAUUACUAGUUGCCAGCAUUAAGUUGGGCACUCUAGUGAGACUGCCGGUGACAAACCGGAGGAAGGUGGGGACGACGUCAAAUCAUCAUGCCCCUUAUGACCUGGGCUACACACGUGCUACAAUGGAUGGUACAACGAGUCGCGAGACCGCGAGGUUAAGCUAAUCUCUUAAAACCAUUCUCAGUUCGGACUGUAGGCUGCAACUCGCCUACACGAAGUCGGAAUCGCUAGUAAUCGCGGAUCAGCAUGCCGCGGUGAAUACGUUCCCGGGCCUUGUACACACCGCCCGUCACACCAUGAGAGUUGUAACACC